AUCACAUCUUACGGAAGAUCAAACACUUGUUAUUUGCUGGCAUAUCAACCUGUAAUACAAAACCAGACCGGAGAUCAGUGGUACAAAGGAUUUCCCCAGCUUUUGCAGGUCUGCUGUAUCCCAGAUCCCCCAGGCAGGAUUACUGCAAAAUGAGGAGAAGUUUCAACUCCGGCAACACAAGACGAAAUAUUAGAAGCAGACUGUUGAUUUAUGCUGCAAACUAUAUAUAAUAAACCUCUAUGGACAUGUA